AAUCAACGCUGGCGGCGUGCCUCAGACAUGCAAGUCGAACGAUUAAGACUCCCUUCGGGGAGUGCAUAAAGUGGCGCACGGGUGAGUAACACGUAAGUAAUCUACCUUUGAGUGGGGAAUAACAACCGGAAACGGUUGCUAAUACCGCAUAAUGCAGCGGCACCGCAAGGUGACAGUUGUUAAAGGAGCAAUCCGCUUGAAGAGGAGCUUGCGGCAGAUUAGCUAGUUGGUAAGGUGAUGGCUUACCAAGGCUACGAUCUGUAUCCGGUCUAAGAGGACGGUCGGACACACUGACACUGAAUAACGGGUCAGACUCCUACGGGAGGCAGCAGUCGGGAAUUUUGGGCAAUGGGCGAAAGCCUGACCCAGCAACGCCGCGUGAAGGAUGAAGUAUUUCGGUAUGUAAACUUCGAAAGAAUGGGAAGAAUAAAUGACGGUACCAUUUAUAAGGUCCGGCUAACUACGUGCCAGCAGCCGCCGUAAUAC
rnacentral:rRNA from 1 species